GGGAAUAAAAAUAGAAUUGACAUUUA
rnacentral:tmRNA from 1 species